rnacentral:lncRNA from 1 species
AAAACAUCAAACUUAUGCCAAAUCUAUAAAAUGAGAACAUCGACUAAGUUCUAUCAACAUGAUGCUUAUUCUAUGAGAAGUUUCGUUGUGAAGAGAUCAAUCUCAUAAGGCAUAAGCAGAAGUGGACGAUGAAUGUAAAAACAUUUUCAAUUCUUUUCUAUAUAGACAACAUCAUGGCACAUAUAAAGUCUCAGUACACUAAAGCAUAGG